UUUCAAUGUGGAAGAAAUGUGAGUAUGUACUGUUUUCCUGAACACAUUCUGGUUGGCAAAAAAGAAACUAAAUAAUUUUUUUUUUUUUCGAGCGUCAAUGACUCAACUAUUCUAUACAUUAUUAUGCCAAACAAACCAUGAGCUAUGUUAAAGAAUAAAAAUAAGAAAACUUUUUAUAAACGACAAUCAAUAUAAUGUUAACAUAGUAAUUAACAAACCAUAUAUACACACAGUCGCGUGUGGUUAAAAUAUAUGAGCUAAAUGAUAUUGCUAUAAUACCGUACAUAGAUUUGUUAUUCUCCGCAAUUGAGGAAAAUAAAAACAGCCUCCAAUCUAGAAGUAGCUUCUGAAAAUCACACAGAAUAUCCUCAUACAAUACAUGGCAAGCGCUAUAAUGGUUGAUGCUAUCAGGGAAUAAGUGAGUAGCACCACAAAUUAUUCGCAUUUUAAAUGUAAUCUCUGAAACAUAAUGCUAUCUAGGUGUAUUGCGAGGAUAAAAUGACUUUAAAAAUGUUUAUGGCCAGGAGGUCUGCCCUUGUAAAUAAUGUACAUUUGGUGAUGGUUUAUAUUAUAAAUAUGGUUUGGUAGCUUAAAAAUAAUUUGUAAACUGGUGUGUGGUCGGAUAGGGACAGUAAACUUGCCUCCCUGCCUAAUUGAACAGGAAUGUGCAGCAGGUGGCCAGGUGUCAGUUGGUCACUUGCCUUUAAAAAACAGCCAGGAAAGCGAAGCCCUUUGUUUUUUUUUGUUUGUUCUUCUUUAUUUGUUCUUGUGCUCUGUGUUCUGCAAGCCUGGAAGUGAAGGUGAAGGUGAAGGUAAAAGAGGAGAACCCUGACGCCUGCAUGCAUAACCAGGAGAAAGUGCUUUGUUUUUUCCUGCCUGUGUGCUGUAGAUGGCUUCACUCAAACUCUUGAUGACAUGGUUCAGAACAGCAAGUGCAUCAUCCUUUAAGACGCCUCCAUCAAUUCAACGGACGUUAGGUGUAAACAGCUUUGCAUUUCUUUUGUUUAACCACUGUUCAAACAAGCUUACAGCCCACUUACAUUAAGUACUUCUCAAAAACCGC